rnacentral:rRNA from 1 species
UACGUAGGGGGCAAGCGUUGUCCGGAAUCAUUGGGCGUAAAGCGCGCGUAGGUGGCUUCGUAAGUCCGUUGUGAAAGUCAAAGGCUCAACCUUUGAAAGCCGAUGGAUACUGCGGAGCUAGAGUACGGAAGAGGCGAGUGGAAUUCCUGGUGUAGCGGUGAAAUGCGCAGAUAUCAGGAGGAACACCGAUGGCGAAGGCAGGUCUCUGGGCCACUACUGACGCUGAGAAGCGAAAGCAUGGGGAGCGAACAGG